rnacentral:rRNA from 1 species
GAUGAACGCUGGCGGCGUGCUUAAUACAUGCAAGUCGUGCGAACGGCUGCGAAGGCGGCUUCUCUGCUAUUCGCGCGGGUGGGUAGCGUGACAGGUGGAUACCCUACCUACAAGACUAGGAUACCUACGGGAAACCUUACCUCAGAUCGUAUCAUAUUUGCACCCGCAUGGUUGAUAAAAGGAAGACGUUCAUGAGGUCCUUUAUACAUGUUUCCGCGGUGGUUUAGUUAGUGGGCAGGGAAACGGCUAACCAAGGCCAGGAUGCAAGGCCGACCUGAGAGGGUGAGCGGCCACACUGGAACUGAGACACGGCCCCGAGUCCUACGGGAGGCAGCAGUAGGGAAUCUUCCGCGAUGGGGGAAAGCCUAACGGAGCAACGCCGCGUGAGUGAUGAAGGUCUUCUGAGCGUAAAACUCUGUUAUUCGGGAAGAAAAUAUGUGUAAGUAACUGUGCACAACUUGACGGUACCUAAUCAGAAAGCCACGGCUAACUACGUG